rnacentral:rRNA from 1 species
CGCUGGCGGCGUGCUUAACACAUGCAAGUCGAACGGGAUCCGGCCAAGCUUGCUUGGCCGGUGAGAGUGGCGAACGGGUGAGUAAUGCGUGACCGACCUGCCCCGUGCUUGGGAAUAGCUCCUGGAAACGGGUGGUAAUGCCCAAUGCUCCGCCCGGCCUCAUGGCCGGUCGGGAAAGCUUUGGCGGCACGGGAUGGGGUCGCGUCCUAUCAGCUUGUUGGUAAGGUAACGGCUUACCAAGGCUUCGACGGGUAGCCGGCCUGAGAGGGCGACCGGCCACAUUGGGACUGAGAUACGGCCCAGACUCCUACGGGAGGCAGCAGUGGGGAAUAUUGCACAAUGGGCGCAAGCCUGAUGCAGCGACGCCGCGUGCGGGAUGGAGGCCUUCGGGUUGUAAACCGCUUUUGUUCACGAGCAAGGCAUUCUUUUUGGGUGUUGAGUGUAGUGUUCGAAUAAGCACCGGCUAACUACGUGCCAGCAGCCGCGG